rnacentral:rRNA from 1 species
CCUACGGGAGGCAGCAGUGGGGAAUAUUGCGCAAUGGGCGAAAGCCUGACGCAGCGACGCCGCGUGAGGGAUGAAGGUCUUCGGAGCGGAAACCUCGGUCAGCAGGGAAGAACGGUCACGGUGCUAAUCAGCAGUGAAUUGACGGUACCUGCAAAGGAAGCACCGGCUAACUCCGUGCCAGCAGCCGCGGUAAUACGGAGGGUGCGAGCGUUAAUCGGAAUUACUGGGCGGAACGCGCUCGUAGGCGGUCUGUCAAGUCAAUGGUGAAAUCCCCGCGCUCAACGUGGGAACUGCCUUUGAAACUGGCAAACUGGAGUGUGUGAGAGGCUAGUGGAAUUCCAGGUGU